CUGGAAUGGAGGCUUCAGUUCAGGAGCCGAUGAGAUAACCGACUGGGAGGGCGCCGUGGUGUGCAACUGCAGUAUUCCAGGCAAAAGACUGACGGUGCAGAAGAAGGGCCGAACAAAGGGCGGGAGUUCUAUGUAUGCAGCAAG